GAUAAAUCGAGCUCCACUUCGCCGUGUGGGAGAUCCGAAGGAGGUGUCAUCUUUGGUGGCAUUCCUCUGUCUACCAGCAUCAUCUUACAUUACUGGACAGACUAUUUGUGUCGAUGGUGGCGUGACUGUUAAUGGUUUUGAGCCAAACCUGUUAUAGGAACAUCAUUAAGACUCAAAAAUCUUAGCUUCCUCUACCGCUUUCCUGUUUGGAUCCUGUCUUUUUCCUGAAUAAUCUGUUUGUGAUGGUAAGUACUCUUCUGUUUUUUCGGUGUGGGGUUCAUCUGAAAACAUUGUUGCAUGAUGCUUAUAAUAAUCGUUGGAAAGUUUGUAAGAAGUUACUUAUCAUUGGAUGAGAUUCUUGUGAUGAGUGUUUCCUAUAAUCAGAUUUAUCUUGUUAUAAGGUUGUUGUUGUAGUAGUAACUGCAAUUCAAAGGAAAUUAAUUUAGUAUAAUACUGUAGGUUGUUGUCUAGUGUCUACUACCUCAGCUUCUCAUCCCACCCAACUCUCCCUCUUUAACUACCUAAUAUGAAAUUAAAAUAUGAAUUUAACAACCUGUCCGUCUUGUCCACCGUUUCUUUGGCUCUUCAGUCUUCAGACUUCGGCCUUUUAAAGCAGGACCUAAAAGGUUUGGGCCCAAAUGUUGGAAAAACUUAACACAGGCUGCAAUUUUGGGCCCCAAAACUCUUUCCAACUGGGCCUGAACACUUUUAGGCCCAAGAUGCUUUAGAUUUUGGACUCGCAGACCAUGUAUAUGCCCUCAACACCACCAUGCUUUACUUCAUCCCUUCCUUUCAAAUUAAAAGGAAAUUCAAAUUUCAUGAUGUUACAACUUGCUCAUUGAUGUACAUUCCCAUUCACAAAAAAUAAAAUAUUAAAUGCACUUAUCCAAAAUAUCUUCAUACCUACCUAUUUUUAUUUUUAAAAUAAAAUUUAAACGUUGAAUAACAAAAAUACCAUUUUUGUCAUCCUUACCCUUCACCCUUCCGAAACCCUAAUCUAAUCUUCCCUUUCUCUCUUCUUUCAUUUUCCAUCUUCUUAAAUGGGAAAAUAACGAUCAUCAGAGCCCACCGUGACUUGUGACAGGUUCGAUCCCUUAACAAUGACGAGGCCAUUAUGGAUAAUAUAAGGAUAAGCAUUACAAUAUUUCACUCCUUCACGUGCAUCUCCCUUCACACAAAGAUGCUUCCUUCACUCAUUUUAUAUUAAUAAUAUGAUAAAUUAUACAAAAAAAAAACAAUUUUUUUUUUAUCAAAAUUGUUUUCAACAAUAUUUCAAAUAUAUAUAUAUAUAUAUAUAUAUAUAUAAAUUUGGAAAACUUGUAUUUUGGAGCUGCUAUUUAGAAAUUAUAUAGUUUUCGGAACCCAAAAAUGAGAAAUAUGAUAAUCAAAUUUUAAUAUGAAAAGUAUUAUCGUUUUUGUGCACUUUGAGUAGACUUCAUCUUUUGUGCCCAAAUGGCCCCUCCAUGUCUCCAGCUCAGCAUUCUUAGCAUCAUCCCAACCUUUGUGUCAGUAGAACCAUUGAAAUUAAGAAAAAAAAAAACACAAAAAUCUAAAUUUGUAACUUCUCAAAAAAAAAAAAAAAAAAACCCAAUCUGCAAGUUUUCAAUUUGCUCAUUUGGAAAACAUUUUUUUUUAUAAAUAUCAAUAUUAUUUUUAAAAAAUGGUGACUUUUAGCUUUUAAUUAAAACUAAGAACAAGAAGUUAUUCCAAAUAUGACUUAUGUAUUUAUUCAGUGAAAGUAAUUUUUUCAUUUAAAAAAAGUAAUUUCUUGGUGAUAAAAAGAAAUAUUUUUUUAGUAGCUUUUCGAUGCUAUAAAAAAAGUGUUGGCUAAGUUUGUAUGAUAAAAUUGGUGUUAUUUAUAUACCAGCACUUUCGCUAGGGUCUUAUUUAUUGGGAAAACUGAUUAAUAAACUAAUCUUCUGUUUUGUUUUCAGUUCAAAGAGUGGUAGAGUAGAGGAGGAGGCAUGGCUCAGACAUUUGGGUGCAGCUCUGGAGAUAGUAGAUGGUCUCUCAAGGGAAUGACUGCUCUUGUAACUGGUGGAACUAAAGGAAUUGGGUUGGUGUUACCUGUUUUUAUGUCUUUGGGUUUGGACUAUACCUUCCUAUAUAUAAACGUAUGUAUCAAUUCUGCAGGCAUGCAAUUGUGGAGGAACUGGCUGGAUUAGGAGCAACCAUACACACGUGUUCUCGAAAAGAAACCGAGCUCAAUGAAUGCUUGAAGGAUUGGAAAGCUAAAGGUUUUGGAGUGAGUGGUUCAGUGUGUGAUGUAUCCUCUCGGGCCCAAAGGGAGAAGCUAAUGGAGACUGUCUCUUCUGUGUUCAAAGGGAAGCUGAAUAUCCUUGUAAGUUCCUCUAGUCUCUAAGGUUCCGAUCCAUGAUAUUCCACAUACUUUGUCGAACUUCCAACAAUUUGAGUUCCCCUACUUGAUAUAUAUAUUUUGGUUCCGGAUUCAGGUCAACAACGCUGCUAUUGUUAUUCAGAAACCAACAGUAGAGGUCACGGCAGAAGAGUUCUCAACAAUCAUGGCCAUAAAUUUUGAAUCUGUGUAUCAUCUGUCCCAACUCGCACACCCCCUUUUAAAGGCAUCAGGAGCGGGAAGCAUUGUAUUCAUCUCCUCUGUUGCCGGCGUAGUGUCAAUCAAGUAUCUGUCUGCUUAUUCAGUAACCAAAGGUAUUUCAUUACAUGAUCCACAUUAUAUAUAUAUAUAUAUAUUGCAAGUUCUUGGGUUGUGGCCCUUGUGGCCUUCUCGGCGUGUCAUUAUCAUUAUCAUAUUGUGAUUUUUCAGGAGCAAUGAAUCAGCUUACAAAGAAUUUGGCAUGCGAGUGGGCGGAAGACAAUAUUAGAAGUAAUGCAGUUGCUCCUUGGUACAUCAAAACUCCGAUGGUGGAUCAGGUAAUUCAGUUGCUCUUCUGUUUUGUCUGGGAAAAUUCAAUAAUCAAUUCCUCUCUCUUUUCUGUCUUUUGCAUAAUCUGGGUUGCAGAUGUUCAGUAACAAAACCUUUCUGGAAGAGGUGAUAAAUCGAGCUCCACUUCGCCGUGUGGGAGAUCCGAAGGAGGUGUCAUCUUUGGUGGCAUUCCUCUGUCUACCAGCAUCGUCUUACAUUACUGGACAGACUAUUUGUGUCGAUGGUGGCGUGACUGUUAAUGGUUUUGAGCCAAACCUGUUCUAGGAACAUCAUUAAGACUCUCAAAAAUCUUAGCUUCCUCUACCGCUUUCCUGUUUGGAUCCUGUCUUUUUCCUGAAUAAUCUGUUUGUGGUGGUAAGUACUCUUCUGUUUUUUCGGUGUGGGGUUCAUUUGAAAACAUUGUUGCAUGAUGCUUAUAAUAAUCGUUGGAAAGUUUGUAAGAAGUUACUUAUCAUUGGAUGAGAUUCUUGUGAUGGGUGUUUCCUAUAAUCAGAUUUAUCUUGUUAUUGUAGUAAUAGGAUUGAAAGAAAAAUGCAAAUAAUCAUAAAAGGAUGAUGAAAAUCGGGAAGAGUUCAUCAUUUUUACUUAUUCAAAUAUUACACCAUCUCUUAUUUACAAUAAAUUUCAAAGAGUGUAAGUGAAACCAACCUUAAAUUAAUUUUGUUUGAUAAAUUUAGAUGAAAUUCAACAAGUGUGAAUCUUUAAUUUUUUUUCAUUUCAAUUAAUUUGGUAUCUAUUAUGAGGUUGCCCAUCAAGCUAAAAAUGACCAAAUAUGAUAUAAGCAUGAAGUCUUUGUUAUAUCUCGGAGAUUAAGAAUUGAUUCCAAUACUUUAUAACUUCCUCUUUUUACUUUAUAUAUCCAUGAAUUUAAGAUAGGUCCCUCACAUGUUUAGCUUCUCCCCUUGACGUACGUAGUGUCAUAUGGACAAUAAUUAAUGCUUGUUCAGCUAAGGUCAAAUAUAUGAAAACAAAUAAGAUUCAUUCACGUAAAACAUACAUGUAGCAAAGAGACGAAGGAAAGUGGGUUCUGUGAUCUAUCACACAUCAUGGAAAAAGCUGUGGUACCAUGGCUUUUCCAGGACUUUUCCUUGCAUAAUGGUACUGACAACAGUAUGCUAUUCUGUUGUUACUCUUAAGAUAUUUUAAUAUAAAGUAGCGCGUAUGUACUAUAUACAAUUCAGUGACGCCAUCUAACACGUUAGCCAAUAAGGUUACAAAUUUUAAUUUUAUAUUAAUAAUAUGAUUUGGGUAUGCUCCAUAUUUUAAAAUAUAAUUGAAUCAUAAAUAUCUAGAACUAGAAAUCCUUUUGAGGGACCAAUAACAUAAAUCAUUAAAAUUUUAUAAUUUGAUAUUAUAAAUUCCUAAUUAAAUUUUAAAAUAUAUUAAAUUUAUUUGAUAUAAAUAUAUAUAAAAAUAAAGAAAAAAAUUAAUAUUUUCAUAUGAUAAAUUAUACAAAAAAAAACAAAUAUAUUUUUUUUUAUCAAAGUUGUUUUCAACAAUAUUUCAAAAAUAUAUAUAUAAAUUUGGGAAACUUGUAUUUUGGAGCUGCUAUUUAGAAAUGAUAUGGUUUUCAGAACCCAAAAAUGGGAAAUAUGAUAAUCAAUUUUUAAUAUGAAAAGUAUUAUCGUUUUUGUGCAUUCUGAGUCGGCUUCAUCUUUUGUGCCCAAAUUGCCCCUCCAUGUCUCCAGCUCAGCAUUCUCAACAUCAUCCCAACCUCCAUGUCAGUAGGACCAUUGAAAUUAAGAAAAAAAAAAACACUAAAAUCUAAAUUUGUAACUUCUCAAAAAAAAAAAAACCCAAUAUGCAAGUUUUCAAUUUGCUCAUUUGGAAGCUUUUUCUCAUCUUUUUCUCUCAUUUUAGUUUAGAAACUCAAAUCCAAAACUCUAAAUGUGAUAUGUUGUGGAAUUGUUUUCAUAGUCCUUAACAAGAUGCAUGCGGCAUGUACUGAACUUUAACCUAAUUCCUUCUACCAAUUUUUCUGGCCCCAAGUUACUAGGGACUAUGGCUCCGAUUGGGUGGUUUUUGAGUAGUCAAAAACCAUUUUUAAAGCUUAGUAAAAAAUUUUAUGCCCCUCAUUUUAUUUAAACAAUUUAUAACUUAAAAAAAUAAGAAAAUAAAAAAAAAUGUUUUUUUAAGCUUUAUUUUGACUUAUUCAAAAAGUUUUUUUAUUUUUUUUAUUUUUAUGUUUAAUACAUUUUUUAUAAUUUCAAUAUUAUUUUUAAAAAAUAGUGACUUUUAGCUUUUAAUUAAAACUAAGAACAAGAAGUUAUUCCAAAUAUGACUUAUGUAUUCAUUCAAUGAAAGUAACUUUUUCAUUUAAAAAAAGUAAUUUCUUGGUGAUAAAAAGAAAUAUUUUUUUAGUAGCUUUUUGAUGCUAUAAAAAAAGUGUUGGCUAAGUUUGUAUGAUAAAAUUGGUGUUAUUUAUAUACCUGCACUUUUGCUAGGGUCUUAUUUAUAGGGAAACUUGUGUUUAAUAUGCUCAAUUCUAUUUCUUUGUAUGGCUAUGCAAUUGUUCAGAUUUGGCAACACUAAUCAAUAAAUGUACGUUAUAUUUGAAACAUUGGAAUAAAAAAAAGAAUAAGAGUUAAUUUUAUUUUCAAUUUAUUACUAUAUUUGAAUUAUUUUUUACAAUGAUAAUAGAAUUAAAAAGAAAAUCACUUAGUAACCCUUAGGUACUACCUUAAUAUACCUUAAAUAACCUUAAUCGAUCUUAGAUAUUAUCUUAGUUACACUUGGGUACUACCUAUGUGAAGCCUCAAAACUUCAUUUGUAGACAUUACUUCAUGUGUGAACAUUAGAGAUGACAUUAUGUGCACCUUUAAUAAGUGUUACUAAGGUAGUACCUAAGGUACAAUCAACACUAUAUCAAAGGUGCACAUAAUGUCAUGCUCUAAUGUUCACAAAUAAAGUAAGUAAUGUUUACAAAUGAAGUUUCCAGGCUUCACACAGGUAGUAUCCAAGUCUAAUUAAGUAGUACCUAAGGUCGGUAAGGUAGAUUAAGGUAAUACCUAAGGGUUACUAAGGUAGUACCUAAGGUACAAUCACCACUAUAUCAAAGGGGCACAUAAUGUCAUGCUCUAAUGUUCACAAAUAAAGUAAGUAAUGUCCAUAAAUAAAGUUUCGAGGCUUCACACAGGUGGUACCCAAGUUUAACUGAGAUAAUACCUACAAUUAGUUAAAAUUAGUACCUACAAUCAGUUAAGAUAGUACUUAAGAUAAAUUAAUGUAGUACCUAAAGGUUACUAAGGUAGUACCUAAAGGUUACUAAGGUAGUACCUAAGGUACAGUAAAUACUAAAGAACAAUAAAUAAAAAUUAAUUACCUUCGUAUUUCGAGUAGGGGUUAGGGAAAAAUGUGACAGAAUGACAGGAAGACGAGACAUUUUUUUUUAGGAAACCAAUAUUUUGGAUUUCACCUUUUCGUCCAAGUACGCUUUGCUAUAGAAAAAUCAAUAUCAUAGUUGCGCCUAUUGAAACCAUCUUUUAACUGGACGUUCUUAGGAUGGAGUGCUCCAUUUGGUUGUUGAGAAUUUAGACAAGAAAGAAAAAUGCAGGUUGGAGUUUUGGAUUAAGGGUUUCUUUUCUCAAAUUGAAGAAAUUUUAGGAAAUUUUAAAUGGGUUUUAGGAUCGUCUGGGUGAUAAAGCCAAGAGAAAUAGAGAAAGAAAUGUUUCCAACCUUUAAGAGGAAAAAGUUUCAGAUUUGGGAAAUUUGAGAUGGUUCCCGGGUCAAGUGUUUUUUUGUGUUUUAGAUUUGAGAAGUUUCAAAUUCUUGGAGAAGAUAUAAAUAUGUAGAUUUGAAUUUUAAGGGUUUCUUUUUUGAAAUGAGAGAAAUUUUGGAAAAUUUUAUAGGUGUCUUUCUAAUUCGGCUAGGUAAGGAAGUGAAGAGAGUUGAGAGAAAAUGUUCCCAAAUGAGAGAGAUGGAAAGUUUUUGAUUUGGGAAAUUAGAGGUGUUGUCAGGAUGGGUGUUUAUGAGAACUUUCAAAUUCUAAUUUUUGUGUUUUGUUUAAUUUCAGAAGGUCUUGUUGACAUGAAAAGCUGACUUACUGCUGACAUGGAGACAUUGAGGGACAAUCUGGGAAUAGAAAAUGUAAACAUGACAUAGUGCAUGAGAACGAUAAUAUUUUCUCCAAUAACAGGGAAAUAUCAUAUUUCAUAUACUUGGGGUUCGAAAAGCAUAUAAUUUUCAAAUCACAGACUGAAAACACAAGUUUCCCAUAAAUAUACUUAAAGCAUGUUUGAUAACAAUUUUGAAAAAUAAUUUUCGAAAAUAGUUAUUUAAAAUUGUUUUUUGAUGUUUACAACAUAAAAAAAAAAAAAAAACAUGUUUGACAACCUAAAAUAAUUUUUAUAUCUAAUAUUUUAUUUUUAAUAAUUCGAUAUAUUUGUAUAAUUAUUUUUAAAAAUAGCUGUAAAAAAUAAGUGAAAACAAGUAAAGAUGUUAUCCGAAAACAUUAUAUUUUUUAUUUUUAAAAACAAAAAAUAGUUUUUCUUAUUCUCAAACAAGUUUUCCUGUUUUUUACGAAGAAAAAAUUAUUGUCAAACAAUCCCUUAUAUACUUGUGUUUUAUCAAGUGGUGAAAUAUCUUUGUAUGAAUUAUAUAGCAACUCAUAAGAGUAAGAGAAAAAGAGACAAUUUUAAAAGUGCAUAUGACAAGUGGAAAUUAUUAGAAAAGAGGCAAUUUUAAGAAUGGAUUUGAUAUGUGUCACAAAGACCACUAAAAUUUGGUGUGAAUAUAUAAAUAAGUUUUAAAUUUUGUUGAUUAACAUAUCUAUAAAUUUUUUUAUUUAUAAAAUUUAAUUUUUAGAGAAAUUUUAGAUAAAAAGAUUUUAGAUCUAUUCAAUCAAAAAUUGAAAGAGUAACUUAAUGUAUUUACUCUAAGCCUCAUGGUGUGUGAAUUAAACCAACCUUCAAAGAAAAAUAGAAAAAAAAAAAAGUGAAUCAUAAUAAAAAGGAAAGUAGUCAAAAUCAAAAGGAGAAUCAAAUUUGAUUUCCAUAUUAGUGAUUUUUUAAAAAAAAUUCUAUUAUCAUUGUAAAAAAUAAUUCAAAUACAUUAAUAAAUUGAAAAUAAACUUAACUCUUAUUCUCAUUUCUUAUUCCAAUGUUUCAAAUAUAACGUCCAUUUAUUGAUUAGUGUUGCCAAAUCCGAACAAUUGCAUAGCAAUACAAAGAAAUGGAAUUGAGCAUAUAAAACACUUUUUUUUUAUAGUAUCAAAAAGCUACUGAAAAAAAUAUUUCUUAUCUCCAAGAAAUUACUUUUUUAAAAUGAAAAAAUUACUUUCAUUGAAUGAAUACAUAAGCCGUAUUUGGAAUAACUUCUUAUUCUUAAUUUUAAUUAAAAGCAAAAAGUCACAAUUUUUUAAAAAUAAUAUUGAUAUUAUAAAAAAUGUAUUAAACAUAAAAAAACCUUUUUGAAUAAAUCAAAAUAAAGCUUUAAAAAAAACAUUUUCUUGAUUUUCAUAUUAAGUUAUUUUUUAAGUUAUAAAUUAUUUAAAUAAAAUGAGCAGCAUAAAAAAUCUUAUAGAGCUUUAAAAAUGGUUUUUGACUACUCAAAUCCACCCAAUCGGAACCAUCAUCCCGGUAACUUGGGGCCAGAAAAAUUGGCAAAAGGAAUGAGGUUAAAGUUCAGUACGUGUUGCAUGCAUCUUAUUAAAGACCAUAAAAGCAAUUCCAUAAUAUAUCACAUUUGGAGUUUUGGAUUUGGGUUUUUAAACUAAAAUGAGAGAAAUUUUGGGUUGUCGAAAGCGAAGAAAGAUGAGAGAAAACUUUCAAAUAAGUAAAUUGAAAACUUACAGAUUGUGUGUGUGUGUUUUUUUUUUUUUUUUUUAAAAAAAGUUAUAGAUUAAGAUUUUAAUAUUUUUUUUUUCUUAAUUUCAGUGGUUUGAUUGAUAUAGAGGUUGAAAUGAUGUUGAGGAUGCUAAGCUGGAGACAUGAAUGGGCAACUUGGGCAUGAAAGAUGGAGCCAGCUCAGAGGCAUAAAAACGAUAAUACUUUUUAUAUUAAAAAUUGAUUUUCAUAUUAAAUUUUAUACAUCUAUUUUAAAACAAUUAAAAUUUUAUUCAAUUUUCAAUUAUAAUAUAUGCACUGCCUCUCGCGGGUCGAUACUGCUGACGAGUGCAUGAAAUUAUUAUAAAUAUCUCAUGGAAUGAGGACAGAUUAAAGAAGAGGAGAGAGAGAGAGAGAGAGGGAGAAGAAGAAGACAACCAAAAAAGAAAAGGAAGACAGCAUUGUAAACAUAGAAAAUGGAAAGUAUUGGAAAUAUUUCAUGAAAUCGGAGUAAACAACAAAACAAAAUAAAAUACUUUUAAUCCCUGUUUCCUACUUCUGUCAUAAAGUAUGGAUAGAGAUGAGACGAAGGAGGAGAAGGAGGAGAAGGAGGAGCACUCAGCUUUCACCGAUACUGCAGUGUGUUGUGGUGGUGUAGCAUAUGGUAGGAUGUCAUUCUUGCUCCAAAAGUGUGGGCAGAUCCAUUUUUAUUUUCCUUUUUUCAUCUCUGUCCUCACUGAUUCGUUUUGGGUAUCCAUCAAUAUUUAUCAGUGGGCUUGGUGUUAGUCAAAAGCCACCAAUUUUUCUUUCCUUUUUUUUUUUCCCAUAUAUUAGAAUGAAAUGUUGUUGUCCAUUUUAGGGGAAGGCGUUAUGCUGAACUGAACUGUGCGAGGGGAAUGAAAAUUAAUUUAGGGGUUUUCUUCCUCCUCUAUUUUUGGCUCUCUUUCAUGAGGGUACAGAUUCUCUUUUUUUCUCUCGGAGUGUUUGGAUUGUUUCAUUCCAUUUAACUAUUUUUGCAGCAUAUUCCGAGUGUUAUAGGUAUUGGGUAAUCAGUAAUACAGAAAAUGUAAUAUAAUUUUGUACUAUGUAGUUUUGGACUUGGGGUAGGAUGAGUUUAAUUUAUGUAGAUUCAUGUCACUAUUCUCAGCCUUCAAUGCAUUGAUUUCUCCAGAUUUUGAUAUAUAUAUAUAUAUAUAUAUACAAACUGCAAUGGGAAUAAAAAGGAUGGUUGUUUCUUCAAGAAUUCUGAGAAAAAAAAAGGGGGUGGGGGGGCAAGAGAGGUUUGAGGAGGCCAUUGGGACUGUUAUCAGUUCUGUGUCUUUUGUUUUCAAGUUGUAAGAAGUCCCUGUUAUGCCAUUUGCUAUGUUGUUUCUGUCCAAUUUUCAGUUGAAAGAGUGGUAGAUUAGAGAAGGAGGAAUGGCUCAGACAUCUGGAUGCAGCUCUGGAGAUAGUAGAUGGUCUCUCAAGGGAAUGACUGCUCUCGUAACUGGUGGAACUAAAGGAAUUGGGUUUGUGAUGUUACCUGUAUUCUAUGUCUUUGGUUUGGACUACACCUUCCUUCCCAUAUAUAAAUGUAUGUAUCAAUUAUGCAGGCAUGCAAUUGUGGAAGAACUGGCUGGACUAGGAGCAACCAUACACACAUGUUCUAGAAAAGAAACCGAGCUCAAUGAAUGCUUGAAGGAUUGGAAAGCUAAAGGUUUUGGAGUGAGUGGUUCAGUGUGUGAUGUAUCCUCUCGGGCCCAAAGGGAGAAGCUAAUGCAGACUAUCUCUUCUGUGUUCAAUGGGAAGUUGAAUAUCCUUGUAAGUUCCUCUAGCCUGUAAAGUUCCAACCUGUGAUCUUAUACAUAAUUUGUUGAACUUAUUACAAUUGAGUUCCCCUGCUUGAAUUUUUGUUGGAUUCAGAUCAACAAUGCUGCUAUAAGUAUUCAGAAACCAACAAUAGAGGUCACAGCUGAAGAGUUCUCAACAAUCAUGGCCACAAAUUUUGAAUCUGUGUACCAUCUGUCCCAAAUCGCACACCCCCUUUUAAAGGCAUCAGGAGCCGGAAGCAUUGUAUUCAUCUCCUCUGUUUCCGGCAUAGUGGCACACAAGAAUAUCUCUGCUUAUUCAGUAACCAAAGGUAUUUCAUCACAUGAUCCAUGGUAUAUUCCAAGUGCUAGGAGUAAAUUCCUAUUUACCAGAGCAAUACUGAACAAGAGAAACAUAUAGAAUUUAUAGCGGUUCUCUUCUAAAGGGAGAGCUACAUCCAUUUUGCCAUUGUAGAUUUUCAUUAUGAAAAAAAAAAAAACCUACAGAACGAUCUCAGGUCUUACAAUAAUUAUCUCAUCUCUGAUUUUCCACAGAGAAAACAGUCACCAUGCAUGUACAAAAUAACUAUAAUAUCCCUUUGAUUGAUUCUCAGUCACCAGGAAAAGUGUAUAUUGUAAUUAGCAAGGCUCCACACAACUGAACAGCAAGUCCUUGGAUUGACCAUCUGUCAUUAUCAUUUUGUGAUUUUUCAGGAGCAAUGAAUCAACUUACAAAGAAUUUGGCAUGCGAGUGGGCGAAAGACAAUAUUAGAAGUAAUGCUGUAGCUCCUUGGUACAUCAAAACUCCAAUGGUGGAGCAGGUAAUUUCUAAUUUCCCUUCACAUCAUUUAGUUGCUCGAAUUCCCUUCUUUUUUUCUUGGUCUGGGAAAAUAGAAUAAUUGACUCGUCCUUCCUUCUCUGUCGUUUACAUUCUCUGGGUUCCAGAUGCUCACUAACCAAGCCUUUCUGGAAGAGGUGAUAAAUCGAGCUCCACUUCGUCGUGUGGGAGAUCCAAAGGAGGUGUCAUCUUUGGUAGCAUUCCUCUGCCUACCGGCAUCAUCUUACAUUACUGGACAGAUUAUUUGUGUUGAUGGUGGCAUGACUGUUAAUGGUUUUGAGUCAAACCUGCUCUAGGAACAUCAUAUGUGAUGGUAUUAUAGCCCUAAUUUGGCUGGCAUGUAUGGAGACUCUUUCAAACAUCUUAGCUUCCUCUACUGCUUCCAUGCCUGGAUCCUUUCUUUUUCCUGAAUAAUCUGCUUGUCAUGCCAAAGUCUUUAGUUUUUUUGGUGUGGGGUUCCCUUGAAAACCUUGCUGCAUGAUGCUUAUAAUAAUGUUUGGAAAGUUUGCUAAUUUUUAUUUGGGUUCAAAUUUUAAUUUUUCAAAAAGUUUCUUAUUAUUUGAUGAGAUUCUUGUGAAGGGUGUUUUUAUAAGGAUUUUAAUUCCAUACAUAAAUCAUACAUCUUUAAUCUCAAUACCAUUGAAAUAUAUAUCCAAUCCUUUGUUGUUCUUUCGUUUUUUUGUAACUUAAUUGUAGUAGGAUCGGAAAUAUGCGAACACUUUCUACUUUUGACCAUUUGCUUUGCUAAAUUAGACCAACUUUUCAUAAUACAAUUCUCAAGUAUUUCUUCAUUUUCAUUACAAUGAUCAUGCAUGGAUAUGGAAAAACUAAUCGGACUCUAAUGUCGUUCAAAUGCAUUUCAUAGAUCAAUCUUCAUCGUCGUAUCCUAAUUUUCAAAACUUGUUAGAACUUCUAAACUUAGUCAAUAUGUAUAGACAUGAUAUCCUCCAUGAUUUUUUUUUAUUGCAACGAAAAAAAGUUAUACAUUCUAUAUUUGAUCCCUAAAUAAAAAAGAAAAAAAGAAAAAAAAAAGAAUGUCUUGCAAAAAUAUUAGGGUUGCACAAAGUUUGGUUGUUAGAAUAAGUAAAAAUGAUGUGCAUCAAAAUAUGUCUUUGAGAAUGGCAAAUAUGUGAGUGCGCUUUAAAAACUCAAAUGGCUUCAAAUGAAUUUCAAGGAAAUGAUUCCAACAUAUAUUCAUCUUCUUAUACCUUUCUGUGCUUCUCCACCAUUUGUAACAAUUUCCUCACUCAUUUGUAAUCCUAAUAAACCUUCCGACCUAUUUUAAAAUUUGUCAAUAUAUUUUAAGCUAAGCUCACCAUCUAUAGUAUCAAAAAAAUUUCUCCUUAAUCCAUGUGGGAUAUGUAUAAUGAAUAAUAUUUGCUCAAAGGUUAAAUAUAUGAAAAUAAUUAAGAUUCAAUCACAUAAAAAUUACAUAUAGCAAGUAGGGAUAACAAUUUUGAUACUAAUAUAAUAAAACGACUAAAAAAUUACAUGGAUUUUAGUAGUUUUGGGUUAAGUAUAAUCAUAUUUAUGUUAUAAUUGUGUAAACACAUUUAUUAAACCAAUGAUAUUGGAAUGUGACUAUUCAACUCAUUUAACCCAUUUAUUUAUUCAUAUCAAAACACAUCUAUGAUAUGAUUAUGAGAACUAAUUUAUGAUUGACAUAACCAAUUUAUAACUUAUUAAUUAAUUCAUAUAAAUUUAUUAAUUUUAUAGAUAUUUAAAAAAUAUUAAAAAUUUAAAACACUUUUUCAAUUAUAAAGAUGUCCUAUAAAACACUAAGGAGGUCACCCUUAUUUAUAUAUGAAAUUAGGGAAUUAAAUUUGAAAUAUAUGAUAUUUGAUUACUUAAUUUAAAGAAUUUGAUUUCUUAAUUUCAAUAACUUUUCAGCCUCAUUUAAGAAAUUUGCCAACAAUCAAAUGUUUUUUCUAAGUCCCUUUUGACUUCAAUUUCCCAAUUUGUUUCUCCUAUUUGAGAAAUCUAUCAAUAAGAAAAUAUUUCUCUCUAAUUCCUUUUUAACUUUAAUUAUUUUAUUUUAUUUUAUAAGACUAGAUUUUGAAACCGUUCAAAUUUUACCGUGUGUUAUUUUUAAAAUCGUAUAUCGCAUGUUCAAUGUGUAGAAUUCAUGACUUAUGAAAUCCAAAUUUUAUUGAACUAUAGGGUUAUAACUUUAGUGACAAAUUUUAUAGUAAUUUAAUCCUUCUUUUAUUUUUAAGCCUACAUAGCUCAACAAGUUGAAUAUAUUUUUAUCGUGUUAAUGGGUUAUCAGUCUUGAUUUAAUUUAAUUUAUCAAAGAGGUUAAAUGAAUGAUUCCCAAUUUGCCACCACAAUAACAAGAGACAACAGACAGAAGGAAAGAGAAACUAAAAUACGUAAUGUGACUUUUCCUUUCAUGUUGCUUACUAUACUUGGUGUCUCUUAAUUUGUUUUUAUUAUAAGAUGUUAAUAAUAUGAUUUUAUUGAUUUAUACCCCAUAUAUAUCAUUUGAGGGAUUGAAAAUAUUGCAAAUUCAUAAUUAAAUUUAAAAGAUAAAUACAUAUACACACACACACAUAUAUAUAUAUAUAUAUAUAUAUAUAUAUAUAUAUAUGAAUAAAAAAAAUCAUCUAUGUAUAAAAUAAUAAUAAGUAGUCUAUUUUUAUCAUUUUUAUGUUAGAAGUUAAUCGAAAACAUAUUUUUUGUUUUUCCAUAAUUUAUACAAAAUUAUAAUAAAAUUUUUAUUCUAGAUAAAAUUAUAUUUUAUAAUUUGUAAUAAUUUAAUUAUAUCAAUUUAAUAUUUUGAUAUCCGUCGUAAAUUAUAUAGAAAUAUUGGAGUGCAAAUACUAAACUACAUAAUAACAACAAGACACCUUAUUCAUCCAAAUUUUCAAAUUUCAAAUAGAAAAUAUUAAAAACAUAAUUUUUAAAUUUAUUAAAAUAUUUAUAUUUGUAAAAAAGUAAUUAAUAAAGAUUUUAAAAUUUUAAAUAUGAUUAAUGAGAUUAUUAUGUGGGUAUUUAUUACUAAUAUUUAAUAUUAAAAAAAAUAAAAUAACAAUAUGAUAUUAAGAUUAUAUUUUUAUAAAUAUAGCAAAAUGAGAUUAUUCUAAAUUCAGUGAUGAUAACAUUAUAGUAAAAAUAAGGAGUGAUAUAAUUAUAAAUAUUUCACUAAGAGCAUAAAAAAUAAAAAAAUAUGGUAAAUUUAGCGAGUAAUAUUGUUACUAUAAAUAUCUGGUGACACGACGACAGAUAUAUGAGUAGAGAAAAACCUCGCUAUUCUACAUAUAGAGAUUCAGAUACCAUUGCCUAUGUCAUGAAAUCAGAGUCCACAAGAAGACAACAUAAAAUGCUAUCGAUCCAUCGCUGUUUCUUGCUCCUGUUAUAAAUUAUGGAUACUAGAUGAAGAUGAGAAGUAGAAGGAGAAGAAACACUUAGCUUUCAAGGAGUCGUAGAGCAGAGGAGGAGACAUGGCUCAGACAUGUGGGUGCAGCUCUGGAGAUAGUAGAUGGUUUCUCAAGGGAAUGACUGCUCUUGUAACCGGUGGAACUAAAGGAAUUGGGUUGGUGUUACCUGUUUUUACGUCUUUGGGUUUGGACUACACCUUCCUAUAUAUAAACGUAUGUAUCAAUUCUGCAGGCAUGCAAUUGUGGAGGAACUGGCUGGAUUAGGAGCAACCAUACACACGUGUUCUCGAAAAGAAAGCGAGCUCAAUGAAUGCUUAAAGGAUUGGAAAGCUAAAGGUUUGGAGUGAGUGGUUCAGUGUGUGAUGUAUCCUCUCGGGCCCAAAGGGAGAAGCUAAUGGAGACUGUCUCUUCUGUGUUCAAUGGGAAGCUGUAUAUCCUUGUAAGUUCCUCUAGUCUCUAAGGUUCCUAUCCAUGAUAUUCCACAUACUUUGUCGAACUUCCUACAAUUUGAGUUCCCCUACUUGAUAUAUAUAUAUAUAUAUAUAUUAUAUACUUUUUUUUAGAACCAGACAGCUUUGGUUUCAAAGACCCUACAUUUACCCAUCAUCCUUGUUAAAUAAUUAUGAGGAAGUCAUACUUACACGUGGAGAUUGAAAAAAAUAAUGAAUGAAUUCCACCAAAUGAAUUAAUUUUGUUUGGCAAUUUCAUUUGAAAAUCAACAAAGAAUGAUGUGAGGUGUGAAUCUUUUUCCAUAUAUCAGCGCACAUAUUCAAAUUCAGCCCUUUCCAUUAAUCUGAUAGCGAUUAUGAGGUUGCGUAGAUGCUACAACAACGACCAAAUGUGAUGAAGAUUUCAGGAAGUGUUGUGAAGAAUUUGAAGAAAAAUAUGAAGAAUUUGAAACAAAAUAUGGAGGAACACCUCAAUUCAUUCUGUGAUACCUUCCUUUACAAUGAAUGAAAGCAUAAAUAAAUAGCCUACGGAUAUGAGACAAUUCCGGAAUGGAAUUUCCCUUACAUGGAAAGUGAAUAAACUCUUACAUGGGAAGUGAAUAAACUACUCUUACAUGGAAAGUGAAUAAACUACCUUGCUAGAAUUACUCCUAAAUAUAUAAACUACUCUUACAUGGAAAGUGAAUAAACUACCUUGCUAGAAUUACUCCUAAAUCAAUUAUAAUAAAGGCUGUACAUUACACUAAUUAGGGAAGUAAACAGAGGAUGCUGGCUUGAUUUCCAACACUCCCCCUCAAGCCGCAUUGUAGAUGUUGAUCAUUCCAAGUUUUUCUGUCAGAUCUUCGAAGUUAACUCGAGCAAGAGCUUUUGUGAGAAUGUCAGCCGUUUGACAGUUUGUCGGAGUGUAGCUGACUUUGAAAACUCCUUCUUCAAUCUUUUCCUUGAUAAAGUGUCGAUCUAUCUCCACGUGCUUAGUUCGAUCAUGAUGAACCGGAUUCUUAGCGAUACUGAUGGCAGCUUGAUUGUCGCAGUAUAACACCAUGGGAUGCUUCAAUGGAACCCGUAAUUCUUCUAACAGCCUGUUCAACCAGAUUCCCUCGCAGAUACCUUGUGCCAUAGCACGAAAUUCUGCCUCAGCACUGCUACGGGCUACCACUGACUGUUUCUUGCUUCGCCAUGUAACCAAGUUCCCUCAGACAAAUGAACAAUAGCCUGAAGUUGAUCUCCGAUCAGUCACUAAACCUGCCCAAUCUGCAUCUGAAAAAAUCUCUAUCUCUUUAUUUGUUGUUCUUUGAAAGAAGAGACCCUUUCCCGGUGUCAUCUUGAGGUAUCUCAAUAUUCUGAUCACAGCAAUCAUGUGUUUUUCGGUUGGAUUAUUCAUGAAUUGACUUACCACACUAACGGAGAAGCCGAUGUCUGGCCUUGUAUGAGAAAGAUAGAUGAGUUUCCCCACAAGACGUUGAUAUCUUCCUUUAUCAACUGGCGCACUUCCAUCACAUUUCUUCCANNNNNNNNNNNNNNNNNNNNNNNNNNNNNNNNNNNNNNNNNNNNNNNNNNNNNNNNNNNNNNNNNNNNNNNNNNNNNNNNNNNNNNNNNNNNNNNNNNNNNNNNNNNNNNNNNNNNNNNNNNNNNNNNNNNNNNNNNNNNNNNNNNNNNNNNNNNNNNNNNNNNNNNNNNNNNNNNNNNNNNNNNNNNNNNNNNNNNNNNNNNNNNNNNNNNNNNNNNNNNNNNNNNNNNNNNNNNNNNNNNNNNNNNNNNNNNNNNNNNNNNNNNNNNNNNNNNNNNNNNNNNNNNNNNNNNNNNNNNNNNNNNNNNNNNNNNNNNNNNNNNNNNNNNNNNNNNNNNNNNNNNNNNNNNNNNNNNNNNNNNNNNNNNNNNNNNNNNNNNNNNNNNNNNNNNNNNNNNNNNNNNNNNNNNNNNNNNNNNNNNNNNNNNNNNNNNNNNNNNNNNNNNNNNNNNNNNNNNNNNNNNNNNNNNNNNNNNNNNNNNNNNNNNNNNNNNNNNNNNNNNNNNNNNNNNNNNNNNNNNNNNNNNNNNNNNNNNNNNNNNNNNNNNNNNNNNNNNNNNNNNNNNNNNNNNNNNNNNNNNNNNNNNNNNNNNNNNNNNNNNNNNNNNNNNNNNNNNNNNNNNNNNNNNNNNNNNNNNNNNNNNNNNNNNNNNNNNNNNNNNNNNNNNNNNNNNNNNNNNNNNNNNNNNNNNNNNNNNNNNNNNNNNNNNNNNNNNNNNNNNNNNNNNNNNNNNNNNNNNNNNNNNNNNNNNNNNNNNNNNNNNNNNNNNNNNNNNNNNNNNNNNNNNNNNNNNNNNNNNNNNNNNNNNNNNNNNNNNNNNNNNNNNNNNNNNNNNNNNNNNNNNNNNNNNNNNNNNNNNNNNNNNNNNNNNNNNNNNNNNNNNNNNNNNNNNNNNNNNNNNNNNNNNNNNNNNNNNNNNNNNNNNNNNNNNNNNNNNNNNNNNNNNNNNNNNNNNNNNNNNNNNNNNNNNNNNNNAUGCAUGAAACGUAGGUGAUAGCUUAUCAUAAGAAAAUAAAAUUUCCAAAUGGGAUGCUGAGUGCAUGAUCUAACUCCUUUCCUCCAAGCUAUGGGCAUAUUAAGAAUAUCAUUUUCUAACUCGGAAUCAACAGUACCAUCAGGAGCGUUGUUACCUGGAAGUUUGCUUGGAUUAGGACCCGGUUCUGCCUCAUGGGUUUGUUGAGAAAGUGAUCUUUCCUCCGUUUCCUCUUGGAUGUGCUCCUUAUCCCACAAGUCAACAAUGGACUCGGGUUGAUUAAAUGACUCUGGAGGAAUGUGAUUUUCAGUGGUGAUGGGUGACUCACUGAAUGACUCAAGAUCCCAAAAUUGAUAUUCCUGAGUUGAAUUCUCCCCCUGAAUAUCGUUUUUGGGAUAGUAAGGCUGGGUUUCAAAAAAGGUGACAUCCAUUGAAUUUUAGAAUUUUCUUGUGACCGGAGAGUAACACUUAUACCCUUUUUGAUUUGAAGAAUACCCAAGAAAGAUGCACUUGAGUGACCUAGGAUCAAGUUUACUUCUAUGUUGUUGAUUGAUAUGAACAAAGAUAGAGCACCCGAAAAUUUUAGGUGGGACGGUGGAGAUGAGACGAGUAGUCGGAAAGGAUUUUAGGAGUGUUUGACAAGGUGUUUGGAAUUUUAGUACCCUAGACGGCAUCCUAUUGAUGAGGUAGGCUGCCAUAAGGACAGCUUGCCCCCAGAAUAAUUUUGGAACAUUCAUGGAGAACAUUAGUGAUCUAGCCACCUCUAACAAAUGCCUAUUUUUCCUUUCAGCGAUUCCGUUUUGUUGUGGGGUAUCAACACAUGAAUUUAAGUGAACUAUCCCUUCUUGUGCUAGAAAUUCUCCUAGAAUGGAGUUGAAAUAAUCCCUAGCAUUAUCAGACUUUAGAAUUUGUAUUUUUGACUGGAAUUGAGUCUGAAUCAUAUUUUUAAAAUUUUUGAAAAUUUGACUCGUUUCAGAUUUUUCUUUCAUGAGGAAUACCCAAGUUAAUCUAGUGUGAUCAUCUAUGAAUGAGACAAACCACCUAGUACCAGUUACAUUUUUUAUUCUUGAUGGACCCCAGAUAUUGCUAUGAAUCAUUGAGAAUGGACUAGACUCUUUAUAGGGUUGAAUGGGAAAAUGAGACCGGACUUGCUUUGAUAAUUGACAGAUUUCACACUCAAAGGAUUUUGGAUUUUUAUUAAAUAAUGAAGGAAAUAAAUGCUUGAGAUACAUAACAUUUGGAUGACCUAAGCGAUAGUGCCACAACCUAAUUGCACUAUCGUUAUUUUGACAUGAAACCAAAAAAGAAUUACUACCAACUGUCAUUUGAGGUUGUUCUUGUGGAUCGUGGCGCUCCUUAAGGAUGUAGAGUCCAGAGCAUUCCUCAGCAUUGCCAAUCGUCUUCCCCGAAUCCAAAUCCUGAAAUUCACAGUGAGUGGAGGAAAAAUUAGUAGAUACACCUCUUUUCCUUAGUGAGUUUACUAANNNNNNNNNNNNNNNNNNNNNNNNNNNNNNNNNNNNNNNNNNNNNNNNNNNNNNNNNNNNNNNNNNNNNNNNNNNNNNNNNNNNNNNNNNNNNNNNNNNNCGUCAUAUGAUCAGAUGCUCCUGAGUCCACUAUCCAAGGUUUUUUACGUUUCUUACCAGCAGUGAAGGCACUCAAAAAAUUACCUUUGUGAGCCAAGGUUCCGGAACCAAUGACCUGGUUGGAAGAUGAGCCAGUUUGUGACUGUACUGACAAAAGAGGAGACAGUAGUUUCUGAAGCAUCUCCAUCUGAUGAGAGGAUGAAGACGAUGAGAUGAUGAUAUCAGAAGUAGAGGAUGAUGAGUUGGUAGCCAUUCCAAAGGCUGGACCGUAUUUAGGCAUAAAUUAGAAGAAUAGAAUUGAGUAAAAAAAAACUGACUAAAGAUGAAGACGAUGAGACAGGAUUAAACCUGCUCUGAUACCAUGAAGAAUUUGAAGAAAAAUAUGAAGAAUUUGAAAACAAAAUAUGGAGGAACACCUCAAUUCAUUCUGUGAUACCUUCCUUUACAAUGAAUGAAAGCAUAAAUAAAUAGCCUACGGAUAUGAGACAAUUCCGGAAGGGAAUUUCCCUUACAUGGAAAGUGAAUAAACUCUUACAUGGGAAGUGAAUAAACUACUCUUACAUGGAAAGUGAAUAAACUACCUUGCUAGAAUUACUCCUAAAUCAAUUAUAAUAAAGGCUGUACAUUACACUAAUUAGGGAAGUAAACAGAGGAUGCUGGCUUGAUUUCCAACAUGUUGGAGUGCGCAUGCUUGAGGAUGAAAACUGUGAACUUGAAAUGACUUAGAAGAUUAAUUUAAGUUUUCAAAUACAUAAAAUAUAAUUAAUAACAUAACUUAAUACAAUAAGUUAAGGCUUCCUAAAGUCUUAAAAUAAAUAACUUUUUCCCAACCUGAAAUAUCCUUUGCCUUGGUAAUAUUCAUGUUCUUCAAGAUCAAAAUUAGUUUGUUUGAUAUAUAAUUCAAAUUAAAAGAUGGAGGGUGUGCCGGGUCCUUUCUAAAUUCAAAAUGGCAUCAUGAAUCAGGUAAGGUUGUGCCCCACGGAUGAAAAUAUAGUAUUAGUUUGGACAAUGUGCCAUGGAAAGAAGAUAGAUUAAGUUCUACAUAUUCAUAUCAGUUGUCUCAGCUUUCACGGCAGACAUUUUCGACGCAAGAGACCGUCUCUUGCGGUGAGUAUUAACCACACUUCUAAAGUUGGAUGUUCGAGAAGACAACUGGGAUUGAUCAGUUUUGUCUCUUUUAUUUUCAGCUUCCUAGAAUCUCUCUCUCUAUCUCUCUUUUUUUUUUCUCAAGGUUAAUGUCAUUUUCUAUGUUGUGGUAGAGUAGAGAAGAACUCAGAAGGCAUGGCACAGACUGGCUGCAGCAAUGGAGAUAAUAGAUGGUCUCUCAAGGGAAUGACAGCCCUUGUAACGGGUGGAAUGAACUUUGAUCUGUCUCUGCCAAUUAUCACCUUGUUUUUAUAUCAAUUCUGCAGGCAUGCUGUUGUGGAAGAACUGACUGGAUUAGGUGCAAGAAUACAUACAUGUUCUCGAACAGAAACUGGGCUUAAUGAAUACUUAAGGGAUUGGGAGGGUAAAGGUUUUGAAGUCACUGGCUCAGUCUGUGAUGUAUCCUCUAGGGCCCAAAGAGAGAAGCUAAUGGAGACAGUAUCUUCUAAGUUUAAUGGGAAGCUGAAUAUCCUUGUUAGUUCCUCUAGUUUGUUAAAUGUGACCCAUCCAUUUUAGAAUCAUUUUCACUAAAUAUAAUUGAUGAGUUACCCUAACUGAAUCUUUGAAUUUAGAUCAACAACGCUGGAACUGGCAAACCGGGACGGACAGUGGAGUUCGCAGCUGAAGAGUUCUCAACGGUCAUGGCUGUAAAUUUUGAAUCUGUGUAUCAUCUAUGCCAACUUGCGCAUCCCCUUCUGAAGGCCUCAGGAGCGGGAAGUAUUGUGCUCAUGUCUUGUGUUUCAGGUGUAGUAUCACUCAAGUAUCUAUCUGCCUAUGGAGCAACCAAAGGUACUUCAUGCCACCAUCGGGUUUAUGUUGCAGGUCCUGUGUUGUUGGACAAGAUGAUAGAUAUUUACCUUUAAAAUUUUUCUUUCGGGGGCACUGAAUCAGCUUGCAAAGAACUUGGCAUGCGAGUGGGCGCAAGACAAUAUCAGGACAAACUCUGUUGCCCCUCGGUACAUCAAAACUUCUCUGGUAGAACCUGUGAGUUUAAUUCCCUUCACCUCAUUUAAAAGUUGCUGUUGUUUUCAUUGGGAAAACUGAUUAAUAAACCAAUCUUCUGUUUUGUUUUCUUUUAUUUUUUUGGUUGUAUCAUUUUGGUUUCAGUUUCUUAGUGAGAAAAGCUUUACGGAAGAGGUAAUAAGAAGAACUCCGCUUGGUCGAGUGGGGGAUCCAAAGGAGGUGUCAUCCUUGGUAGCAUUCCUCUGCCUACCAGUAUCAUCUUACAUUACUGGCCAGACCAUUUGUGCUGAUGGUGGGAUGAAUGUUAAUGGUUUCGAUCCGAGUCAAUGCUAGAAACAACUAGCAUUUAUAUAAUUGUUGUUUUCUCAUAUUUUUCAUACUCACUCUAAUAUUCUUCAUUAUCAUAUUUAUAUAUAUAUAUAUAUAUAGAUAUAUAUAUAUAUUUAUGUAGGUGUACGUGCACACGUGUGUUCAUGUGCGGAUCAUGGACAUUUUUUUUGUAUUCUGUCAUAUUCUUCUUACACUCUCAAAAUAUUCAUAUAUUUUUUACAAUCUUCAUGCAUUUUUUUUUUUUAAUUCUUGAUAUUCUCUCAUAUUCUUUGUAUAAUUUAUAUUGGAAAAAUGAAUAAAAAAAAUAUGGUUUAAAAUUGAUAAAAUAAGAAUAAAAGAUAUAAAAAUAAAAUAAAAUGAUAGAAAAAUAUCAAUAUUAGAGGAAGAUAUACUUGGAUAAUUAGACGCUAAAACCUUGAAGAUGCAAACAUAGUAUGUGGCUAUUUAAUGAGGAACUUAAGGAAUUUGUUCAAUAAUAGUAGCUACCAUGGGAUUAAAGGAUAGUGUAAACGAGUCCGAGGGAGAAACAAUUUUAAUAAAAAAUUAAUUAAAAAUUUAUAUAUUUGUAAUAAAAAUUUGAAAUAAGUUAAAUUAAUUUAAAAUGAUAUAUAAAAAUGAUUUACUGCUUUAAAUCUAUUUUUAUUUUUUAUUUUUUUUUCAUUUCUUUUUUACUUUUUCUUUAUAUAUAUAUAUAUAUAUAUAUAGAUAUAGAUAUAGAUAUAUAUAUUAUAUAUUUUUUUGAGAACCAGCCAGCUUUGGUUUCAAAGACCCUACAUUUACCCACCAUCCUUGUCAAAUAAUUAUGAGGAGCUCAUGCUUACAUGUGGAGAUUGAAAAAAAAUAAUGAUUGAAUUCCACCAAAUGAAUUAAUUUUGUUUGGCAAUUUCAUUUGAAAAUCAACAAAGAAUGAUGUGAUGUGUGAAUCUUUUUCCAUAUAUCAGCGCACAUAUUCAAAUUCAUCCCUUUCCAUUAAUCUGAUAGCGAUUAUGAGGUUGCGUAGAUGCUACGACGACGACCAAAUGUGAUGAAGAUUUCAGGAAGUGUUGGAGUGCGCAUGCUUGAGGACCAAAACUGUGAACUUGAAAUGACUAUUGAAUGCUACCAUAUGAAAUUCGGCCUGAAUCUUUUUCCAAUUCAAAUGCAGGCAGUUCCAUUAAUUUGAUAGAUAUUAUGAGGUUGCCUAUCAUGCUAAGAUAACCAAAUCCGAUGAGAAGUUCAAGAAGUGUUUUGAGUGUGUUUUAGUACUGACACCAUGAAUUCAAAAACAAAUAUAACAUAGAAACACAAAUCAAAACCCAUCACAUGAUGAUAUAGUCGAUAGGAAAUUUGCUUUCUUAAACCAUGCCACGUCCCAUGAAAAAGAAAAUUAAGAAAAUUACAAAUUUUACUUCGAUGGGCUCACAUGCUAUGUGAACCGUCCACUUAAUCGAGGUUAAGAUUAUCUUCAUUUACUUAGAAGAUAAUAAUGAAUUUUUCAAGUAAAAUUUUUUGAGAACCAGACAGCUUUGGUUUCAAAGACCCUACAUUUACCCAUCAUCCUUGUUAAAUAAUUAUGAGGAAGUCAUACUUACACGUGGAGAUUGAAAAAAAUAAUGAAUGAAUUCCACCAAACGAAUUAAUUUUGUUUGGCAAUUUCAUUUGAAAAUCAACAAAGAAUGAUGUGAGGUGUGAAUCUUUUUCCAUAUAUCAGCGCACAUAUUCAAAUUCAGCCCUUUCCAUUAAUUUGAUAGCGAUUAUGAGGUUGCGUAGAUGCUACGACGACGACCAAAUGUGAUGAAGAUUUCAGGAAGUGUUGGAGUGCGCAUGUUUGAGGACGAAAACUGUGAACUUGAAAUGACUUAGAAGAUUAAUUUAAGUUUUCAAAUACAUAAAAUAUAAUUAAUAACAUAACUUAAUACAAUAAGUUAAGGCUUCCUAAAGUCUUAAAAUAAAUAACUUUUUCCCAACCUGAAAUAUCCUUUGCCUUGGUAAUAUUCAUGUUCUUCAAGAUCAAAAUUAGUUUGUUUGAUAUAUAAUUCAAAUUAAAAGAUGGAGGGUGUGUCGGUCCUUUCUAAAUUCAAAAUUGCAUCAUCAAUCAAUCGGAUAAGGUUGUGUCCGACGGAUGAAAAUGUAAUAUUAGUUUGGACAAUGUGCCAUGGAAAGAAGAUAGAUAGAUUAAGUUCUACAUAUUCAUAUCAGUUGUCUCAGCUUUCACGGCAGACAUUUUCGACGCAAGAGACUGUCUCUUGCGGUGAGUAUUAACCACACUUCUAAACUUGGAUGUUCGAGAAGACAACUGGGAUUGAUCAGUUUUGUCUCUUUUAUUUUCAGCUUCCUAGAAUCUCUUUUUUUUUUUUUUCUCAAGGUUAAUGUCAUUUUCUAUGUUGUGGUAGAGUAGAGAAGAGCUCAGAAGGCAUGGCACAGACUGGCUGCAGCAAUGGAGAUAAUAGAUGGUCUCUCAAGGGAAUGACGGCCCUUGUAACGGGUGGAACUAGAGGAAUCGGGUCCGUGUUACCUGUUUUUCUGUUCUGGAAUGAACUUAAUUUGAUCUGUCUCUGCCAAUUAUCACCUUGUUUUUAUAUCAAUUCUGUAGGCAUGCUGUUGUGGAAGAACUGACUGGAUUAGGUGCAAGAAUACAUACAUGUUCUCGAACAGAAACUGAGCUUAAUGAAUAUUUAAGGGAUUGGGAGGGUAAAGGUUUUGAAGUCACUGGCUCAGUCUGUGAUGUAUCCUCUAGGGCCCAAAGAGAGAAGCUAAUGGAGACAGUAUCUUCUAAGUUUAAUGGGAAGCUGAAUAUCCUUGUUAGUUAACCUCUAGUUUGUUAAAUGUGGCCCAUCCAUUUUAGAAUCAUUUUCAUUAAAUAUAAUUGAUGAGUUACCCUAACCGAAUCUUUGAAUUUAGAUCAACAACGCUGGAACUGGCAAACCGGGACGGACGGUGGAGUUCACAGCUGAAGAGUUCUCAAGUAUCAUGGCUGUAAAUUUUGAAUUUGUCUACCAUCUAUGCCAACUUGCUCAUCCCCUUUUGAAGGCAUCAGGAGCGGGAAGUAUUGUGCUCAUGUCUUCUGUUGCAGGUGUAGUAUCACUCAAGUAUUUAUCUGCCUAUGGUGCAACCAAAGGUACUUCAUUCUACCAUAGGGUUUAUGUUGCAGGUCCUGAGUUGUUGGACAAGAUGAUAGAUAUUUACCUUGAUAAUUUUGCUUCAGGGGCACUGAAUCAGCUUGCGAAGAGCUUGGCAUGCGAGUGGGCGCAAGACAAUAUCAGGGCUAACUCUAUUGCUCCUUGGUUCAUCAAAACUUCUCUGGUAGAACCUGUGAGUACCCUUCACCUCAUUUGAAGUUGCUGUUGUUUUCAUUGGGAAAACUGAUUAAUAAACUAAUCUUCUGUUUUGUUUUCUUUUAUUUUUUUGGUUGUAUCAUUUUGGUUUCAGUUUCUUAGUAAGAAAAGCUUUACGGAAGAGGUAAUAAGAAGAACUCCGCUUGGUCGAGUGGGGGAUCCAAAGGAGGUGUCAUCCUUGGUAGCAUUCCUCUGCCUACCAGCAUCAUCUUACAUUACUGGCCAGACCAUUUGUGUUGAUGGUGGGAUGAGUAUUAAUUGUUUCGAUCCAAGUCAAUGCUAGAAACACCUAGCAUUUAUAUUAAUAUAUGUUGUUUUCUCAAAACCGCUUCUGUUUUUGGGAUUAUUUGCUCGUGAUAGUGACCUUGUGGUCCUAGGAUUAAUGCAUGGUUACCAAAUAUUAAGUCUAUGCUUCCAAUAAAUAUUAAAAAAUUUCUUAUUAUUCAAUCACGGAUUUCUACCUUCUUCUCCGGUCAUAGAUACUGUUUAGGUCUCCGGUGCAUUCCCCGCUCACCCACCUACAUCUGAUUGGUUGCAACGUUCAAUCACGGAUUUCUUAUUAUUCAUAUAUCUUUUAGUACAUUUUUUCAAAUUCUUGAUAUUUAUUCGUAUUAUUUGUAUAAUUUAUAUAAGAAAAAAUGAUUUAAAAUAAAAAUAUAUGGUUUAAAAUUGAUAAAAUAUCAUGAAUAACGUUUUACAAUCCAUAAGAUACAAAAAUAAAACAAACUGAUAGAAAAAUAUCGACAUUGGUUAAAAAUAAUUAAGUUAAUCGCGAGUAUAACUAAAUCAUCUCAACUUGAUGAAUGAUAAAUUCAUUUAUAAAAAAAUUUAAAAUAAAAAACCUAUUAAUUAUUGAAAAUUCAAAUAUGAUUUGAUAUAAAUGUUUUGUUAUGAAAUUUACAUUUGUAUGAAAAAAUAGUAAACUUUUCUUAAGGUUCGUAGUCCCCUGGAAACAUUUUUUAGUAUUUUUUUCGAGAGGUACAAAUUUCUUGCUUACUUUAAUAUAUUUAAGACACAAAAUUUGACAUAUAUAUUUGAUCCAUCAAUCAAAACUCCCAUCCCACACACAUUUUGUAAAGUUAGAGCCAUUAGUUUUUAUAUUCAAUUUUUACCUCUUUUUUUGCAUAUUUUAAUAAGAAUAAAUUAGAUGUUGUAAUUUCUUAUUUUAAAUAAGAGUAUGAUACCACAUUAAACGAUAAAAUAAAAAUUGUAUAUAUGUGAAAUAUAUGUCAUUAUUCAUCUUGAUAUGUAUUAUACUGUUUACCUCUUCAACAAGUUUUGUAAAAUUUUUUGUUUUGUAGUAAGUAAAGUGUGGAGAGUUACCCUCAAAGACAUGGGAUUUAAAAGAAAUAAGAAAAAGAGAAAAAUGUCAAAUAUUUCUUAUUAUAAUCACUUGAAAAAUAAGUCCAAUACACGUGGAGUUGAAAUAGGUUUACAAUCAAAGGAAGUAAAAGAAAAAAAGAUAAACUAAUCUUUCCUUGCUCCAAAAAAGAAAGAUAAUAAUGUUGAUGUGGUAAAUAAAUUAAUAAUUUUAACAUCUCCCCACAAACUCAUAAAACUCAUAAUGCGGUUGUAAGAAGUAGUGAGAGCUUAAAUAAAUUAACUUACAAUAAAAUGAAGUAAAAGAAAAAAAUUAAUUUACCCUUACUCGAUAAAUCUUUAGUAUAUUAUUAUUAUUAUUAUUAUUAUUAUUAUUAUUAUAUCUCAAAGUCAAGAUUAUGAACAUGAAAAUUAAACAUAUCGCGCUUCAAUCUUGACAAGACUAAUAUAAAGUGAGGUUUUCCCCUUCUUAUUAUUAAUAUUAUUAUUAUCACUACUACGAUAUCUUUGUUUACACUAAAAUCUUUUCUUUAAUGCCCUCAAAGUCAAGAUUACGAACAUAAAAAGCAUGUCACACUUCAAUGUUCACAAGACUAAUACAAAAUGAGGUUUCCUCCUAAAUUUAUUAUUACCAUUACAUAUCUUUGUUUACACUAAAAUCCUAUCUUUAAUACCCUAAAAGUCAACAUUAGGAACAUGAGAAACAUUUCACUAUUUAAUGUUGACAUGACUAAUACAAAGUGAGGUUUCCCUAAAUUUAUUAUUAUUAUUACAUAUCUUUGUUUUCACUAAAAUCUUAUCUUUAAUACCCUAAAAGUCAAUAUUAGGAACAUGAGAAACAUUUCACAAUUUAAUGUUGACAAGACUAAUACAAAGUGAGGUUUUCCCCUAAAUUUAUUAUUAUUAUUACAUAUCUUUGUUUCCAUUAAAAUCUUAUAUUUAAUACCCUAAAAGUCAAUAUUAGGAACAUGAAAAGUAUAUCACACUUCAAUGUUGACAAGACAUUAUACAAAGUGAAGUAUUAUUUCCAUAAUAUCUUUGCUUACACUAAAAUCUCAUCUUUAAUAUCCUUGAAGUUAAGAUUAUGAGCAUGAAAAAUAUGGCAUACUUCAAUGUUGACAAGAUUAAUACAAAGUGAGGUUUCUUCGUCAAUUUAUUAUUAUUACUACAAUAUCUUCCUACACUAAAAUCUCAUCUUUAAUAGCUCAAAGUUAAUAUUACAAGCAUGAAAGUUCAACAUGCCAUCCUCCAAUCUUAACAAGGCUAAUACAAAUUGUGAUUUCCCUAAUUUUUUUUCCAUUGUCUUUCUUUUUCUUGUACCUGUUGUGAUCGAUUUAGGUCACAAGCCAAAUAAUUGCAAGAAAAUGAACUCACACGUGAAAAUUGAGAAGGAUGAAAUAUUCUCUAACAUUGCACACUCUUAGAAGAAAAAUCAUUUGGUUGACAAUUUUAUUUGAGACUAACAAAUUGACGGAAGGACAUGAUGUGAGGCCAGCUUGUAUAUGCUUUUAUUCAAAUCUAGCCACAUGAUGAAUCCUACAAACUCCUUUCCCAUUUUUUUAUUGCAAUGUUUUAAAUGAUGCCACGUACCUAAAUUCUUGAAAUUUUGAGUCAGUUAAAGACAUGUCUGGAUGGCAUGGAGGAGAGUUAGGGGGCUAUUCGGCUUGUACCCCUUCAAAUUCAGCCUGCUCCAUUAAUUUGAUAGCUAUCGUGAGGUUGCCUAUGAUGCUAAGAUAACCAAAUGUGAUGAGGAUUUCAAAAAGUAUUCGAGUGUACUUCAGUACCAAAUCUGUGAAAUGAUUAUUGAAUGCUACCUAAUUUUGUUUGAAAUUUUCAUUUGAAAUUAAAUAAAUAAAUAUGUGAGGCCUAAAUCUUUUUCCAUCAUAUUGUACUCAUGUUCAAAGUCUGCCACUUCCAUUCAUUUGACAGCUAUAAUGAGGUUGUCUAUGAUGCUAAAAAUGACCAAACGUGAUGAUGAUUUCAAGAAGUAUUCCAGUAUAUUUUAAUUGGCAAUGUUUUAAAGAUAGGUAUCAUUCAUCCUAAAAAUUCAUCCAUUCAUGUUCAUUGCAUGGUCGAAAUGUUAUUAAACAACUAACAUUAUAAAUAUAUAAUUUAUAUUUUAUUAAAAUUAAAAAUAAUUUUUAAAAACUAAUAUGUAUAUAUAUAUAAUUAAAAACCAAUUAUAUUUAUUUUUUAAUCUUUUAUAUAAAUGUACUAAUAAUUAAAAUUUUAUUAAAUAAAAUAUGUAAAAUUUGAAAAUUGAAUAAAAUUUGCAUUAUAUAUAUAUAAAAGUUUAAAAGAUACUAGAUUAUUUUAUUCAUAUUGAAUUUCUGAAAUAAUAUACAUAUUUUUUUCUUUAGUUUCACAAACAUUAACAUUUGGAUAAGUAGCUGAGUAGUUGUUCCUGAAAAUGCUCAAGCACAUAUUAGCAAGAAUGAAGAAUUUGUUUCUAUUCUUUCAUAUUUUACAGUAGACCAAUGGCUAUAUAUAUAUAUUACAAUGUAACUAAUCUAACCAUCUAUUGAACUACCUAACCAUCUUCUAACUAAUCAUAACAACAUCUGUUAGAGAGGAGAAGAAUCAGCUGCUGGUGCGGGUGCUUGUCUAUCAUCCCCCCGCAAGCUGACAGGUCUUGGGACAAUAGAGAAAUGAGUACGAGCGGCUGAGAACUAACAGCUUGGAACAUAUUUAGUAAAGACAUCUGCCAACUGGUCGGUAGAAGGAACAUAUUGAAUUAAAAGCUCUUUGCGAAUGACCUUAUCACGGACAAAGUGAAGAUCAAUCUCUAUGUGCUUGGAACGGGCAUGGAAGACAGAGUUAGCUGCAAGAGGAGCAGCACUGAUAUUGUCACACCAGAUCAAAGGAGUGUUCGGUUGAGGAAUGCACAACUCUUUGAUCAGAAACUGAACCCAGGAGACCUCAACAGCGAGAAAAGCAAGUGCCCGGUACUCCGAUUUUGCACUACUACGAGAGACGACACGUUGCUUGGUAGAGGACCAUGAGAUGAGAUUGGUGCAAAAAAAAAAGACAAAAGCCACUAGUGCUUCUUCUAUCAUCGAGACAUGAAGCCCAAUCCGCAUCGGUAUAGCCUUGAAGAGACCAAGAUGGUGAGGCAUGGAUAGAAAGACCAUGAGUAGCAGUACCUUUGAGAUAGCGAAGUAUGUGUUUAGCAGCUUGCAGAUGAGAAGUGAUAGGAUGAGCCAUGUAUUUACAAGCUUGAUUUACUGCAAAUGAGAUUUUUGGUCUUGUGAGAGUGAUGUACUGAAGAGCACCCACAAGACUGUGAUAGUGAGUAGCAUCAAGAGCAGAUAAAGGUUCUCCAUCUGCUGCUGAUAACAAUUUUCCCAAAGCACCAAGUGUGCUAGCAGAUUUGGCCCCAAGAAGAUCAGCACGCUCAAGUAGCUGAUGUAUGUAGCGUUGUUGAUUGAGAUGAAGAACAUGAGGAAGCCGGGUGACUUCAAUGCCAAGGAAGUAGCUAAUAUCUCCAAGGUCUUGAAGAGCAAAAUGGGAGCUAAGCUGAGAAAUGAUAUGAUGGACCUGUGGUGGAUUGUUGCCAGUAAUGAGAAUAUCAUCCACAUAGAUUGAGAUGAUGAUAAUAUCAGAUGCAGAGUGGAAAUAAAAUAAAGAUGCAUCAGCCCUUGAGCAUUGGAAUCCCAAUUGUAAGAGAAAGGAGCUGAGCUUGUGGAACCAGGCUCGAGGCGCUUGUUUAAGGCCAUAGAGAGCCUUCUGUAGACGACAAACAUGAGUGGGGCAAGAGCUAUCUUCAAAGCCUAGAGGUUGCAUCAUGAACACCUGUUCUUAAAGAUCUCCAUUUAAAAAAGCAUUGUGGACAUCUAGUUGUUUAAUAGGCCAGUUGGAAGAGACAACAAUGGAGAGAACAAGCCUGAUAGUGCAAGGCUUCACAACUGGACUAAAUGUCUCAAAAAAAUCAAUGCCAUAGGUUUGAUGAAAACCUUGGGCAACCAGCUGAGCUUUGUACCUGUCAAUGCUGCCAUCAGGUUUAUGUUUGAGUUUGAAGACCCAUUUACACCCAAUAAUUUUGGCAUUAGAUGGAGGUGGCACCAAAGACCAAGUUUGAUUCUUCAAUAGAGCUUGAUAUUCUUGUUCCAUAGCAAGCUUCCAAUUAGGGUCUUGAAAAACCUGUUUGACAGUACGUGGCUCAGCUAUGAGUGAGGUAAGAUAGGUCUUCUUCUUAUAGAUACCAAAUUUGGAUCUGGUAAUCAUAGGAUGACUAGGAAUUGGAGCUAUGGAAUCCUGGAGGGAAGCAGUAGAAAUCUCAGCUGCUUCAUCCACAAAUGGCACCUGAAUGAGCGGGGGUAAAGACAAAAAGCUGGCUAGAGGUGAUGUGGGGGCAAGUUCGGAUGGGAUAGCCGGAGAAGAGCUGGUUGUGGAGGGGAAAAGAACAGAAGAUGGAGGAAAAAGAAAUGCUGGAGUGACAGGAAAAUGAGAUGAUUGGUGGGAAGGAGAAGUCAAUGCUUGAAAUGGAAAUGUAGUCUCUACAAAGACUACAUGCCUAGAGAUAUAUACUCUGCCAGUUGUAAGAUUAAGGCAAAAAUAACCCUUGUGAAAUGUUGCAUAACCAAGAAAGAUACAGGGUAUGGACUAUGGCUGAAAUUUGUUGGAGUUGAGAUGUCUGAGGUGUGGAUAACAAAGACAACCAAAGACUUUGAAAUGGAAAUAAUCAGGUGGGUGUUUGUAAAGAAGAGAAAAUGGGGAGCUGUAAUUGAGCAAAGGAGAAGGCAUGCAAUUGAUAAGGGUAAUUGUUGUAGUGAAAGCAUAGGACCAAAAUUUGGAUGGCAGGGCAGUUGUGUAAAGAAGAGUGAGCCCGAUUUCUACAACAUGGCGCAUUUUGCGUUCAACCCGACCAUUUUGUUCAGGUGUAUAAGGGCAAGAAAAUCUAUGGAGUAUACCAUGAAGAGAUAGAAACCGGAGGGUAGUGAACUUUCCACCAUGGUCUGUUUGAAGGCAUUUAAUGGUGGUCUGAAAUUGGUUUUCAACAAGAGUUUUAAAUUGAACAAAAGUGGAGUAAACCUGGUCCUUGGUGAGGAGUAAAUAUAUCCAUACAAACCUAGAGUAAUCAUCCAUGAGCAACAAAAAAUACCAGGCACCUGCGGAGGAAGGAACAGGUGUUGGUCCCCACAAGUUUGCAUGGAUGAGUUCAAGAGGAGAGGAGGCCCGGGAAGUGGACAAAGAAAAAGGAAUUUUGUGACUUUUGGCAUAACAACAAGCAUUGCAAACAUCAAUUGUUUUAUUUGAGUUAUAUGAAAUAUUACAUGUAUGAAAAAUUUUCUGAAGUAUUAUAGCAGAAGGGUGGCCAACUCGUUGAUGCCACAACAUAGUAGUGGGCUGAGUUUUUGUGAGAAACACUUGAUGUUUAGAAUUGGCAGUAGGUGAGUUGAUAGAUGAGGUAGGAAAUUUGUAGAGUCCACGUUCAAGUUGGCCUUGGAGAAGAGUCACUUUGGUAUCCUUGUCCUUGACAAAAAAUGAAAAAGGAUGAAAUUCAAGAAUGGUAUUAUUAUCAGUACAGAAUUUUGACACACUGAUGAGAUUUGAAGUGAGUUGUGGAACAUGAAGCACAUUGUGUAAAACAAAGGGUUUAGCAGAAAUGUGGAGAAAGGAAUGACCAACUUGGGUUAUGGGUAGGGACUUACCAUUGCCAACCAUCACAGAGUCAGUACCAUUGUAUGAAGUACCAUUGUGGAUAUUAGCAACUGUGUGGGAGAGAUGGUGGGUGGCGCUUGAAUCCAAAAACCAGGAGUCCGUUGAUGCUGGGGAAGGUGCUGCCAUCAUGGCUUGAGCAGGAGGAGUGGGACCAGUUUGAGAGGUUGAUGAGGCUGGUGCAUGUGGCCCUUGAUAAUUCACAUCAAAUCUGUGAUAACAAGAGAGGACCAUGUGCCCAAACUUGCCACAUAACUGACACUGUGGUUGGUUAUUUGUCCGGGAUCGAUUAUUGUUGAAUCGGUUAGGGCGAUAUCCUUGAGGAUGUUGCUGUCGUGAAUUUGGAAGAGUGUCAGGUCGUGGGGUUGGCAUGAAUGACUGAGGUGGUUUCCCUUGAGAGGGUUUGAUGGACUGUGACCUUCGUGGUCUGUUAUGAGUUGCAAUAUUGGCAAUGAGGAGGUCUUCUUCAGCAGUUGUGGUUUGAAGAUGCAGCCUCUAUUCAUGAGUCAGAAGGAUGCUAUGUACCGCAUGAAGUUGAAGGUCAUCAUCUCUAGCUGUGAGAGAAGCCAUGAUGGGGUUGUAUUCAACCCCUAGUCCACUUAGUAAUUGAAGAAUUUGAUCCUUUUCUGGCACUGGUUCUCCAAUAGCUGCUAGACUAUCAGAGAUGUGUUUGAGUUUUUGGAUGUAUUCCAUCAUGGUAAGAGGGCCUUUUUUGGUUGUUUGAAAAGCAAGUCUCAGCUGCAUUGUUCUUGCUUUGGUGGAAGCAGAGAAGCUUCAUUGGAGGGUUGUCCAUGCUUCAUGGGAUGUUCGUAGCCCAACAAUUUGGCCCAUAACAUCUGGAGUGAGAGAGGAGUAGAUCCAACUCAGGAUCAUACGAUCAUAUCUCCUCCAAACCAGAAAAUCUGGGUUCACUUCUCCGGUGGAUAUUAUUUUUGGAGGACAUGGUCUCAGACCUUCAAUAUAGUCCUCAAAUCCAUUGGCAUAUAUCACAUUUUCCAUUUGUGUAUGCCAAAGGAUAUAGUUAUCUCUAUCUAGUUUGAUAGGAAGAGGAUGGUUCAGCAUGCUCAUGUUCAGGGUAGAGGUUACCUGAGAAGAGACAAUCUCCGGCGUGGUUUGUGUUGAUGAAGCCAUCGGAAACUAGGUACAGUAUGUUCUUGAAGCUUUCUUGAGGUGAGUAAGAAAAGCAAAAGGUAAUCUGCAGAUGAUGUAUAUCAGAAGAAAGUUGCAGUAGAAAGAGUUGUUGGAGAUUUCUUUAUUGUCUUGCUGGGGAGAGAAAUCAAAAAACGAAAAUUCAUGAGCCUAUGGCUCUGAUACCAUGAAAAUGCUCAAGCACAGAUUAGCAAGAAUGAAGAAUCUGUUUCUAUUCUUUCUUAUUUUACAGUAGACCAAUGGCUAUAUAUAAAUAUUACAGUGUAACUAAUCUAACCAUCUAAUCAUCUAUUGAACCACCUAACCAUCUUCUAACUAAUCAUAACAGCAUCUGUUAGAGAGGAGAAGAAUCAGUUGCUGGUGCGGGUGCUUGUCUAUCAGUUCCAAGUUACCUUAAACCUUGAAAGGAUCAAGUCCUUUUGAUUUUGUUUAAAUAAGCUACUAAGCUACUGCUCACUCCACAUUGGAAAUUCAAGGGGAUGAAAAAAGGUUUAUAAAUCUCAUUCAUCUCCAACAGGUCACAUGGCCUUUAGGCCGUGGGAGGCAAUGCGGUGAGUGGGUCGUGUGCUCUAAAUGGAGGCCUAUUUUUGCAACAAAAGAAAGACCGAAACCAAACCAAGCAUGAACCAAAUCGGAUCAAGAUCCAGUCGACGGUCUGACUAGUUCAGUAGGAAUUUUUCAUAAUAUGGUUUAAUGGCAUGUAGAUAUUCUUUAGUCAAAGUUUUAAUAAGCCCAUCAAAAGUUGUAAUAUUUUAUGUUAUAAGUUAAUAGAGAAUAUUUUUUACUUUAAAUUUUUGUUGGUAUUUUCCCAUAAUCUAUAGUUAUUAAGGCAUUGAUAUUUUCUCAAAUUAUAGAAUUAAGUUCUAAAACAACAUUUAUUUUGACAUAGAUGAACAUUUGAAAGAUUAUAAUUUAUCUUUAACUUAUUUUUCUUUAUAACCAAAAUCUUUUCUCUCGAUUUUUCAUAAUAUUUGAUUAUGAUUAAUUAUUCAUGCAUACAAUCUAGGUCUGAAUCUAUUAUCUUCAACACUUAUUUUUAUUUUUUUAUGUCAUGUUUGAAAAUUUACUUUAGAUAGUAAGUCAAUAAAUGUUUCUAAAGGUAAAUGAGUGUUUGGUAUUAUGAUUCUUAGAUCUUGACUAGUAAGGGAUUCUUUAUAAUUUGUUCAUUUUAUUACUUGAGCUAAUUUAAUUCUCUAUUUAUUAAUUUCUUAUAUUUCAUCAUGUAAAUUUUGAAUAGUUAUAAGUUUGUGAAUAGUUUUGAAUCUAUUAAAUAUUUCAUCUAUAAUAUUGAUUAGAUUUGGGUUCUUGAAGUCUACUUAUCUCUUUAAUUUGUAAGAAUUAAAUCUUUUAAAUAUAACAAAUAUUGAAUUUUUAUGUUGAAUCCUCUAUUUUAUGACAUCAAAAAAUAUUUAUUUAUUUACUUUUGAAUAAAUCAUAUUUAUUAUUUUAUAUGAACAAACAUACUCACUUUCACAUUCAUUUUCAUCAUUAGAGUCUUCUAGACUAAUUAUAUUGGUUUAAUGUGUCUAGUAUUUGUGAUAAAUUUCAUAAAAAUAUUCAAGUGUAAAUAUUAAACUACAUAGUAUACUGUCACAUAUGACACAUUUCAAAUAGUAAAGACUAAAACCAUAAUUAAAGAUAACUUAGGUUUUAUUUUUUUUGUCAAAAAUAUUAUAAUUUUAAUUAAUUGAAUUAUUAAUUUUUCAAAAAUUUAGAAAAAAUAAAAAAUAGUAUUUUAAAAUUUGGCUCUCUUGAAAAUCAUGAGAGGAUAAAAAUUGGUAAAAAAAUAAAUAAAUUUAGAAAAGGUUAUUGAGAUUAAUUAAGUACAUCCUUGCCAUGAUAUUUAAUAUUUUUUUUAUGUUUUAUAAAUAGGGUAAAUGGACAUCGUUCUAAAUACAGGAAGAUGAUAUUAUUAUAUAUAAAAAAAAUGUAAAAAUAGUGAGUAAUAUUAUUAAAAAUAUCUCAUGGAAUGGGGCAAGAUAAAGGGCCAAAAAAAAAAAAAUUAGAGAAGAAAGAAGAAAAAGAAGAGUGUUGUAAGCACAGGAAGUCAAAAGUACUGUAUAAGCGUGAUUCAUCCCUGUUUCCUACUUCGAUUAUAAAGUAUGGACAGAGAUACAGAAAAAAAAAAAGAGAAGAAGCAGCAUUCAGCUUUCACCAGUGCAGAGUGGUAUGGUGGUGUAGCAUAUGUUUGGUUGUUAUUCUUGCUCCAAACAAGUGUGAGCUGAUCCAUUUCUAUACUCAUUUUUGUUAUCUCAGUCGACUGAUUCGUUUAGUGGGCCUGGUGUUAGCCAAAAGCUAGCCACCAAUUUUCUUUGCUUUAUCCCAUUACAUUAGAAUAAAAAGAAAAUGGAGGUUUGAGAGGGCCAUUGGGACCAUUGGGACCAUUAUCAGUUGUCUUUUGUUUUCAAGUUGUAAGAAGUCCUGUCAAGGUUUAUGUCAUUUGCUAUGUUGUUUCUGUUCCAUUUUCAGUUCAAAGAGUGGUAGAGUAGAGAAGGAGGCAUGGCUCAGACAUUUGGGUGCAGCUCUGGAGAUAGUAGAUGGUCUCUCAAGGGAAUGACUGCUCUUGUAACUGGUGGAACUAAAGGAAUUGGGUUGGUGUUACCUGUUUUUAUGUCUUUGGGUUUGGACUAUACCUUCCUAUAUAUAAACGUAUGUAUCAAUUCUGCAGGCAUGCAAUUGUGGAGGAACUGGCUGGAUUAGGAGCAACCAUACACACGUGUUCUCGAAAAGAAACUGAGCUCAAUGAAUGCUUGAAGGAUUGGAAAGCUAAAGGUUUUGGAGUGAGUGGUUCAGUGUGUGAUGUAUCCUCUCGGGCACAAAGGGAGAAGCUAAUGGAGACUGUCUCUUCUGUGUUCAAAGGGAAGCUGAAUAUCCUUGUAAGUUCCUCUAGUCUCUAAGGUUCCUAUCCAUGAUAUUCCACAUACUUUGUCGAACUUCCUACAAUUUGAGUUCCCCUACUUGAUAUAUAUAUUUUGGUUCCGGAUUCAGGUCAACAACGCUGCUAUUGUUAUUCAGAAACCAACAGUAGAGGUCACGGCAGAAGAGUUCUCAACAAUCAUGGCCAUAAAUUUUGAAUCUGUGUAUCAUCUGUCCCAACUCGCACACCCCCUUUUAAAGGCAUCAGGAGCGGGAAGCAUUGUAUUCAUCUCCUCUGUUGCCGGCGUAGUGUCAGUCAAGUAUCUGUCUGCUUAUGCAGUAACCAAAGGUAUUUCAUUACAUGAUCCACAGUAUAUAUAUAUAUCGCAAGUUCUUGGGUUGUGGCCCUUGUGGCCUUCUCGGCGUGUCAUUAUCAUUAUCAUUUUGUGAUUUUUCAGGAGCAAUGAAUCAACUUACAAAGAAUUUGGCAUGCGAGUGGGCGGAAGACAAUAUUAGAAGUAAUGCAGUUGCUCCUUGGUGCAUCAAAACUCCGAUGGUGGAUCAGGUAAUUCAGUUGCUCUUCUUUUUUGUCUGGGAAAAUUCAAUAAUCAAUUCCUCUCUCUUUUCUGUCUUUUGCAUAAUCUGGGUUGCAGAUGCUCAGUAACAAAACCUUUCUGGAAGGGGUGAUAAAUCGAGCUCCACUUCGCCGUGUGGGAGAUCCGAAGGAGGUGUCAUCUUUGGUGGCAUUCCUCUGUCUACCAGCAUCAUCUUACAUUACUGGACAGACUAUUUGUGUUGAUGGUGGCGUGACUGUUAAUGGUUUUGAGCCAAACCUGUUCUAGGAACAUCAUUAAGACUCUAAAAAAUCUUAGCUUCUUCUACCGCUUUCCUGUUUGGAUCCUGUCUUUUUCCUGAAUAAUAUGUUUGUGGUGGUAAGUACUCUUCUGUUUUUUCGGUGUGGGGUUCAUUUGAAAACAUUGUUGCAUGAUGCUUAUAAUAAUCGUUGGAAAGUUGGAAGAAGUUACUUAUCAUUGGAUGAGAUUCUUGUGAUGGGUGUUUCCUAUAAUCAGAUUUAUCUUGUUAUAAGGUUGUUGUUGUUGUAGUAAUAGGAUUGAAAGAGAAAUGCAAAUAAUCGUAAAAGGAUGAUGAAAAUUCAUCAUUUUUACUUAUUCAAAUAU
rnacentral:lncRNA from 1 species